AUACGGAGGAUGCAAGCGUUAUCCGGAUUUAUUGGGUUUAAAGGGUGCGCAGGCGGAAAAUUAAGUCAGUGGUGAAAUCCUGCAGCUUAACUGUAGAACUGUCAUUGAUACUGAUUUUCUUGAAUUCAGUUGAGGUAGGCGGAAUGUGUAAUGUAGCGGUGAAAUGCUUAGAUAUUACACAGAACACCAAUUGCGAAGGCAGCUUACUAAACUGACAUUGACGCUGAGGCACGAAAGCGUGGGGAGCGAACAGGAUUAGAUACCCUGGUAGUCCACGCUGUAAACGAUGAUCACUCGUUGUUGGCAAUACACCGUCAGCGACUGAGCGAAAGCAUUAAGUGAUCCACCUGGGGAGUACGACCGCAAGGUUGAA
rnacentral:rRNA from 1 species